UCGCAAACCCCAGUCGUCGUCCCCGAGGCUCACUGACUACAUUAGGGGACAAAUCUUCCUCUUCCUCCUACUUCUUCACCGAGUCGGUCAGGAUUCAACGAAGGAGGGUGUGCUAGUGACUUGUGCGACUAGCCACGGUGUUGGUUGCCCGUUUUAACUUAAGGUUCGCGAGUAGCCCUAACUGGACCGAAAGGAAGAGAGAAGAAGAAGAAGGAGGAGGAGAAGGAGAAGGAGGAAGAGAAGACAGAGAAGGUGGAGGACGAAAAAAAAAAAAGAUAGAAGAGAGAGAAUGAGAGCGACAAGAGAGAAGAUAAUCGAGAUAGAACUCCAAAGUCUUUGUGUGAUCUAUGGAAUCGAGACGGCUUUUACAUUCGAGAUUAAUCUCCGUAUGUUUUGCCACUCGAAACUGAAUAGCUUCCUAUCCAACACCCCCUCCCUUCACCUCCUGCGCCCACCCUCCCCACCUCCUCCUCCACAACCCCCUUGUUAUUGAAACUUUAUCAAAGGAAUAAUUCGAUUGAUGAAACUAAUGAAUAUCUAUUACGAGUAACUCUCGAGUAAACACAUUUGAGAAUUACAAACUUACUUACACGCAUAAUUUCGUUAUUAUAUGUCAGUAGAAAAGUUUGUUUAUUUAAGAAUAUUAACGAGAACAACGGGUCUGUUAAUAUCAAUACGUAUUCAAGACCACUUGUUCGAAGCAACAACCUGUAGAGGCUGCCAUACCGCACGGUUCACAAGUGCGUGUACGUACAAGAAUGAAUGUAAGAGAGAGAGAGAGAGAGAGAGAGAGAGAGAGAGAGAGAGAGAGAGAGAGAGAGAGAGAGAGAGAGAAAGAGAGAGAGUGAAAAAAGAGUAAGAUCGAGAGAGAGAAAGAGAGAGAAAGAGAGACUCGAAGAGACGAAGGAAUUCAGGGUUACCAUCCCAGCCAAAUAUAGAUCGGAGUGUAUGUGGGAACACGUGUACGCAACCAUAAAUAUCCGCUGUGCGUUUCGUGAACGUCAUAAAAGCAUCCUCUCUCUCUCUCUCUCUCUCGCUCUCUCUCUCUUUCUCUCUUUCUUUCUCUCUUUCUCUCUCUCUCUUUUCUCGCUCUCUUUAAAAAGUAUUCGUUCUCUCAAUACGUACGAUAUUAUUAUGUCAGGGAUUUUAGGGCGCGAACGUUCAAGUUUUUCUAACUAUACCCGAGAAGAUGGCAGAUAUUUUUCCUUUACCUUCAAGGAGAGCUAACUUAAGACGAGGACUAUCGCGAUAAUCCAAACACUCGUAAAAGUAUAUCGAGUUUUAUACCGAACCGGAUAUAGUCCAUUUUACGAUCUGUUUCAUUUACUUUUACGAUCAACCUUCUUAACUAAUACGACCGAAAUAUUCAAAGUUAAUGUUCUCGAUUGAUAAACGAUGCGAAGAAUUUACAAGAGAUUAAACGAACGAGAAGAUGAAGAAGAACAAGAAGAACAAGAAAAAUGAAAAGAAAAAGAAGAAAAGGAACAAGUGGUCAAGGUAAAGAAAAAUAAACAUUAUACUCAAUUCAAUAUGAACGAGAGACUUAAGUUAUUCGAAUGUUUCAUAGAAAGAAAGAGAAAGAGAUAGAGAGAGAGAGAGAUAAAGAAAGAGAGAGAAUAAAAUAAUUUGUCGAUGUAUACCAUAAGAGAUAGAGGAAUACAGUGGAAUACUUGGAAGAAUACUCUCAGACGUACGUAAUAAAGUAUGUUUCUCUCUCUUUCCCUCCCUCACUCUCUCUCUCUCUCUCUCUCUCUCUCUCUCUCUCUCUCUCUCUCUCUCUUGGUUACUUCGAGCUCUCCCGCAGCCGCAAGCACGAUGCCGUUCUGGCACGCCACAUGUCCCUCGACAGAGAGCAAGAAGAAAAAGACGAAGUCUCUGGGCGGAAAAGAAGAAGAAGAAGAAGAAGAAGAAGAAGAAGAGGAAGAAGAAGAAGAAGAAGAAGAAGAAGAAGAGGAAGAAGAAGAAGAGAAGGAGAGAGUCAUCGAGAAGGUUAAUCUGAAAGCAGUGCUUGGUGGGCGGUAGUUGGUCGGGGCCGGUUGUGACGAGGUUUGCAUCAACAAACAGAAGCUUAGUUGUUGCUGCUUAGGAUGACUGAGGAAGGAGGCAUCAAAAAUACCAAGCAACAUAUACAUAGACAGAUCGGCCAAACGUUCUUCUCCUAAACGAGACGAAAGCAGAAUGGACAAGAGGAGGUGAGACGAGGAAGGACAAAACGAAACGAAACGAAACGAAACGAAACGAAACGAGACGAGACGAGACGAUAAAGAAAAGUCGGAAGAAGGACUUUGUGGAAUCUGGUAUCGAAAAAAGUCGAUCUUAUGACGAGGGCCAAAGGAAAAGUCAACUUUCCGCGAUCGCAUUGCUCCAUCCUCAGUCUGAACAAUUAAAUCUGAACAGUAAAGAGCUGUGCUAAUUGUUCCGCGCGUAAUUAGUGACCAACGACCCUUGGCCUCGCAUCUUUCUGCCUUCUCAGGUGUACGGAUGAUGAAGAUGCUUAAGAGAUCAGAAAAAGAUCGUUAAUUCGAAGAUGGUACCCAUCAAGUAUACAUAGUUAAAACAAUUAGUAUCUUUUUGUCACUAAUAAAGAAGAAAGAAGAAAUCAAUUCGAGCAAGGAGCUCGUAAAAAAUAAAAAAUGUAUCAAUGAUAUAUUUACGAUACAAAUUCGAAUUAUAUUCAAACGAUAUCGAAUAUAUAUUUAUCUCUCUAAGUUUUAAAGACAUUUAAGAUAUCUUCUUUCGAAGAUACUUUCUUCCGUAAUCAUCGAUAUUAUCUAUACCCAAGGUAGAAAGAAUUGGAGAAGAAUAAAAUACGAGAGAGUAAAAGGAAUCGAGAAGGAACCACGUGGUAUCUCUCGCGUCACUGUGAGUUUCUUGCUCGUAGAAACAUUGCUUGAGGAAGAAAAGAUAUAAAGGAAGAAAGAGAAGAUGGCGCUGCUGUUUGGAAGAAAUGUUCCCGAAGGGUACCGCGAAAUUUCACGGAAUUUCGUUCGCGAAAUUCCUCGACGAAGGCUCCAAUAAGAGUUUGGGGGGGGGAUCGGCGGGGGGAGGGACCCUUUCCUUGGAUUCAGUCAUCCUCCUCCUCGUUACCGGAGAAUCCACGUAGAAAGGGACUAAGGACGAUCGAUGACGCUAUUGGGAUUCGUUGAGUUUCAUCGAUUCACAAAAAUGAAUUACGAUUUUUUAGUAUCGUAAAAGGGAAAUCUCAAGGAAAUGUAUUCGUUUGAACAGAAAUGACGUUCAUCAAUUUUCUCGAAGAAUUUCUUCAAGAUCAAAAAUUGUGAUUUAUCACGUAAAAAUAAAUGAAAUUAUAGACACAGAUCAAUAUAAAUAUUUCACUAUAAACUAUUAUUAAGACUAUAAUCAAAACGAUUUAAUUAAAGAUUCAUUUCUGAGGCCGAUCCAAAUGCGGCAUUAAAGUCUCCAAAUGGUCCAACUUAAUACAAUACGAGUUGUACGUUGAUACUAAACGUAGAAGAGAACGCAUGAAGGGAAGAAGGAAGGAAGAAAGGAAGGAAGAAAGGAAGAAAGAGAGGAAGGAAGGAAGGAAGGAAUUACUCAGGCAAACGAUGCAGAUGAACGUCGCGCGGCGGCAGCAGCAGCCACGCGAAUCGAUCGAUCGACUUAUUUUUCGGUUCCAGCCUCGCGCCUCUUCCUUUUUACUGUGUAGCUUCGGGUUGUGAGUAUAAAAGCCCCUAUCGGAUGUUUCCAAUUUUCUGUUGGCAAGGUAGAGUUGCUGAGGCUUGCUACGAAGAGAGAGAGAGAGAGAGAGGGACUCCGUAAUACGGGAUUCUCUCUCUAUCUCUCUCUCUCUCUCUCUCUCUCUCUCUCUCUUUUACCAGAGCGUGCGUAAGAGAGAAAAAGAGAGGAAGAAAAGUAGCAAAGACCGACGAGGAAGAUCAGAAAGAGAGAGAGAAAGAGAGAGAGAGAGAGAGAGAGAGAGAGAGAAGAGCGCGUCCAACGCGGACAUUCGUCACACGACAUCAAACGCGGGUGCCGCCCGUUGGAGACUCGACGGACCGACUCUAAAGACUCCGCUCGAUCAGCCAUGAAGAGCACACCGACGAGGAAUUGCAAAAAAAUGGGGAAAAGUGAAGGGAAGAGAACGAGCUGACUUUGUACCAAACGAUAUUGCUUCUUGUCGUUAUUAUCGCCUCUAAUGCUCGACUGUCUUCCAAAGAGACGCAUCUUCCAUUUCUCUCUCUCUCCCUCUCUCUCUCUCACUCUCUCUCUCUCUCUCUCUCAUUCUCUCCUUUUCUCUAUCAAUCCUUUUGAUCAUAUAAUUUUUAUAUAUUCCAUGCAUAAACAUACGCAUCUAUUAUUACUCUUUCAAGGAUAAUAAUAACAUAUUCGUAAGGCAAUUCCAAAGAAAUAUCAAGAUCAAUGAAUUUUAAUGUGCCUUUAGUUAGGUGUUACAAUUAUUUUUAAAAGGAUUGUUUGCUUAUUCGUAAAAAUAAAAAAGAAAGGAACGAAUGAAUAUAUAAUCCUAUUGGCAUCAUUACUAUCCAUAUGGCAGUGAUAAGGAUUAAUUUAAGAAAAAAAAAAAUAUAUAUAUAUAUAUAUACCUGUUCUCUAUCUACGUAGAUAUAUAUAUAUAUAUAUAUAUAUAUUUCUCGAACUAUCGUUGGAACUCGAUAAUUUUGAAAUCGAAAUGUUUCAAGUACAAUUAAAGUUUUCUUUUCAAAUGAAUAAUAUCCAUGUCCUUGUAAAAGAGCAUACGAAAUCGUUAUUCCGGUUAGCGAUAGAAAUAAGAACACCUAUUGCUGGUUAAGCAAGUAAGUAUACCUAUAUGGUUAAACUCGUUAAUCUGUAUCCAUUAACGUAAAAAAAAAAAAAGGAAAAAAAAAGAAAAAAAAAGAAAAAGAAAGAAAAAAGAAAACGAAAAAAAAAAAAAAAAAAGAAUAAAGUAAGGGGGGCGUAGAUGGCAAAGAUAUAUCAAUUUUGUAAGCGUGACCUUGAAUUGCGCGAAGAAUGACGAUGCGAUAUUUAAUAUCUAGCAAGAAGUUCGAUCGGCGAUCCCCUUGCAAGUCAUCCUGGUCAUUGUGUUCCCUGAUAUCCGAUCGGUAGCUCAGGAUCAAGGACAGACAUAGCUCUCGCUGCAGAGAACAGCUUCACGGUGCUUUUACAACUCGGACUUUGUCUCAUCGUUGAAUAGAUGGAUAGAUAUAUGUAGAUACGAGUCAGAAAAUCAUUCUGAUCAUUCGAGAUAAAUAUAAAUAAAUAAAAAAAGUAAAUAAGUAAUAAUACAUAUAUAAAAAAGUAAGAAAGAAGAAAAAAAAGAAGAAGAAGAAGAAGAAAAGAUUUCUAUGCAUUCGAUUCCACGAAUCUUACGAAUUUAUCCUUUAAAAGUCUUUCACGUUUUACGUUUACCCGAGAUAACUACCCAAUGAUCUUUACGAUCUGGCAUUGGAUCUCAUCUAACGAGCAUCCGACUUUACAGACUCCUCUUCCUCUUUUCUUAAGCUUCAACCAUUGGAAUCUCUUUAACUCGAUCUUUUUUCAACGGAAUCGACUAACCUCACGAUUAUAUUCCUUACUCUACCCCAAUUUUUUUCAAGCUCGUUUUAACUACGAUCGUAAAUAGGCCGUUAAAGGGCAUAAAACCUAUUCCGCAAAAGGCUUGUUUGUCAUCGUUACAUUCUAUCGAAUCGUAUACUUAAAUAUCGUAUGCGAAUAAUAUACGUCUAUAUUGAUCAUCCGCAAACAGUAUAUCUUACAACACUUUUCAACAAUAACAAAUUGUUGAAUGAUUUAUAAUAAUAGAUAUAUAAGAAAGAUAAACAUAAUUAAUCAACUAAAUUAAAAUACAUUUAAUAUUAUUAAUAUCUGAUAGGACGUAACGGUCAUAUGAUAUAAUUGAUUCUAGUAUCAUGAGAAAAAUGGAUUAUUCGGGAUAAUGAUCAAGAAGAAGAAAAAAAUACAGAGAAAGAGAGGGAGAAAGAGACAAACAGAGAAAGAAACAGAAAGAGAGAAAGAGAGAGAGAGAGAGAAAGAGAGAAAAAAAAUGAAAGAUAAAAGAAAAUAAUAUCGGACGGCAGUUUUCAGGUCAACGCGAGAUCGGUGGAGCGUUUAAAAUCGGCGAAACGAUUUCCAGGUGUAGUCGAGAGGUCUACGUUGAAUUCUCCACGGCAUGGCAAGGCAAGGCAAGGCAAGGCAAAGCAAGGCAAGGCAAGGCAAGGCAAAGCAAGGUAAGACAAGGCAAGGCAAGGCAAGGCAAGGCAAGUCAAAGCAAGGUAAGGUAAGGCGGUUGCCGAUUAUAAUUCGCAGCUAGUGUAACCACAGCCUGUAAACUAGUCGGGAGAUGAGAGGCGAUGCUUGCUCGUAAUUCUCUUUCUCUCUUAAAAGAGAAAAAAAAAGAAAAGAAAAGAAAAAAAGAAAGAGAGAGAGAGAGAGAGAGAGAGAGAGAGAGAAGGCACGUCACAAGUUAACGGUUUUAAAGUCUUCGAGUGGCGAGUGCCGCUCUCUCGCUCGACUCGUUCGACUCGCUUUCAUAAAAUCAGUCGACUGUGAACGGAGGAAUGCGACGGAAUGCUGAAAUUAUUCCAACGACGAGCGCCGCCGUCGUCGAACGAAACGAAACGAACCGAAGAAGAGAGAGAGAGAGAGAGAGAGAAUUUUUCUCUCGCUGAGGAAUCGCUCAACGACCGCUCGAACAUCGCGGGAGUGCGCUCGGUCGCACUUUUUAAUCGACAAAAAGCCCAAGAACGUCGUCGUCGUCUUCGUUUUCGUCUUCGUCUUCGUUUUCGCCUUCUCCUUAGUCUUCGUCUUCGACGGACAAAUCAACCAAAUCAAACCAAACCAAAUCAAACUAAACCAGACCAAGCUAACGAAUGAUGUCCGUUGAAUUUUCACCGAGAAGAUGUAUACGCGUGGUUAGUCUGAGAUAAAGUAACAAAAAAAAAGAAAAAAAGAAAAAAAGAAAAUGAAAGAGAAAGAAAUCUAAUACCAAUUUCACACCGAGAUCUCAUCUCUCAGUUGCAAUCAAAAUCGAUAUUAUCGAUCGAGCGGAAUUAUCAAUCCUUUCUUUUUCCCUUUUUCUUUCUUUCUUUCCUUUUUUUUUUUUGCGGUGGUGACUUCGUAUAUGAUCAUUAUUGAUUUUA